rnacentral:rRNA from 1 species
UACAGAGGGUGCGAGCGUUAAUCGGAAUUACUGGGCGUAAAGCGCACGUAGGUGGCGACGUAAGUCGGGUGUGAAAGCCCCGGGCUCAACCUGGGAAUUGCAUUCGAGACUGCAUUGCUGGAGUACGGAAGAGGAAGGCGGAAUUCCCGGUGUAGCGGUGAAAUGCGUAGAUAUCGGGGGGAACACCAGUGGCGAAAGCGGCUACCUGGCCCAUUCUUGACGCUGAGGCGCGAAAGCUAGGGGAGCAAACAGG